rnacentral:rRNA from 1 species
CGAACGUGGGUAACCUGCCUUAUAGUGGGGGAUAGCCUUUCGAAAGGAAGAUUAAUACCGCAUAAGAUUGUAGUAUCGCAUGAUAUAGCAAUUAAAGGAGCAAUCCGCUAUAAGAUGGACCCGCGUCGCAUUAGCUAGUUGGUGAGGUAAUGGCUCACCAAGGCGACGAUGCGUAGCCGACCUGAGAGGGUGAUCGGCCACAUUGGGACUGAGACACGGCCCAGACUCCUACGGGAGGCAGCAUG